UACGAGGGGAGCAAGCGUUGUUCGGAUUUACUGGGCGUAAAGGGCGCGUAGGCGGCCACCGCAAGUCGACUGUGAAAUCUCCGGGCUUAACCCGGAAAGGUCAGCCGAUACUGCGGGGCUAGAGUGCAGAAGGGGCAACUGGAAUUCUCGGUGUAGCGGUGAAAUGCGUAGAUAUCGAGAGGAACACCUGCGGCGAAGGCGGGUUGCUGGGCUGACACUGACGCUGAGGCGCGAAAGCUAGGGGAGCGAACGGG
rnacentral:rRNA from 1 species